UAACGACAAUUGAUUUAUCAACAAACUAAAAUGAACAAUGAAAAUAGAGAGAGUAAGGAACUAAUUACAUCCAUAUGCUUGGUUUCGAGUUAUCAAAAUAAAGCACAAACGUGUUCAAGUAGUAGCUAAAAAUCAACCAAAAUAGUUUUGACGCAUAUAAACGUGCGUCUCUCGAGCACAAACGCGUUCAAGAAGUAACUGAAGAAGCAAAUAAGAGACACAAACAAACAACAAGGUUUUCCAGAACAGAACUUAUCCAUAGAAAAUAAAAUGCCAACGUCCACAUGAGCUCGAAACCUUGGAGUAAAUGUUCACUUGAGUUGCUUGAGUAAAAUGUUAUAGUUCCUCUACACUUGCAACCUCAAAUCAAGCAGCAUGAGCUGCCCUACCUAGAGCUCCAUAAGCUAUAGCUUGACCUUGAGCUGCAAUAGCAUCAGCAUGAGCCUGAAGAAAGGACAUAAACAAAUUAAUUAUGCGUAUAUUUGAUUAACGUUAAUUUAUAUGUUUUCUAUUUUUUGAUUAAAUUUUAUUUGGUAUUUUUAUUUUGAUAAUAAAAAUAAGGAACUGAUACACACCACUAACAUAAACACACCUACCUACAUGUGGACACAGAGGAACAAUAACUAGCACAAAAAAACCAGAAUCUAAAACGCAGACAUCACCAUUGCCUUCCCUAGUAAAACACACCUUCUAGUUGUGGAAGUAAAUGUGUAGGGAUACAUAUUGUAAAGUUUCUGUUUUGUAGGUUAAAAUGAAACAAGAACCAUGCAUAAUAAGAGCAAAAACCAUAACAGAGUAAAUUGAAAAUGCACACAAAAACAAGAACAUAUCAAGAACACAAAAACCAUAAAACAAGAACCAUGCAUAAGCAAAAACUUGUUACCUGAAUCACGUUGCCAGCAAUAACAGAAACCACGAAAGGUCUAGCCGUUGCCAUCGUGAUUUGUUCAUAAGUGAGGUUAACGCCAUCCCAAACCUG
rnacentral:lncRNA from 1 species